rnacentral:rRNA from 1 species
UGCUAUUGCACCACAUGUGUUUUUUAUUGACAAAUUUCUUUGGUGGCGGGAGCAAUCCUACCGCCAGAGGUUAUAACUAAACCAAACUUUUUAUUUACAGUCAAACUUGAUUUAUUAUUACAAUAGUCAAAACUUUCAACAACGGAUCUCUUGGUUCUCGCAUCGAUGAAGAACGCAGCGAAAUGCGAUACGUAAUAUGAAUUGCAGAUAUUCGUGAAUCAUCGAAUCUUUGAACGCACAUUGCGCCCUUUGGUAUUCCAAAGGGCAUGCCUGUUUGAGCGUCAUUUCUCCCUCAAACCCCCGGGUUUGGUGUUGAGCAAUACGCUAGGUUUGUUUGAAAGAAUUUAACGUGGAAACUUAUUUUAAGCGACUUAGGUUUAUCCAAAAACGCUUAUUUUGCUAGUGGCCACCACAAUUUAUUUUAUAACUUUGACCUCAAAUCAGGUAGGACUACCCGCUGAACUUAAGCAUAUCAAA